ACUCGCCUAUCAUAAGUAUGCGACGAUAAAGCUUUCUCACCGUUAAAGUUUUAUAGAUGUGAUUCAUAUAUGUUUAAAAACAGUUUUGCACACAGCUGCAUUUGGGAUUUAGAAUUUUAUUUGUGGAAAUUUAUUUUGCUUUCAUAGAUAAACUCGAUGUUCAUGACGCGGUAUGAAUACCACUGAAUACAACUACGUCUUUAAAUGCGUCAUCAUCGGAGAUUGUCACGUGGGCAAAACGGCACUGCUACGGCGCAUGCUCGGAGAGGAUUUCUUACCCAAGCCCGCGCUGAUGCGAACCAGUCCGAUCUCGCAGCGGCAUCUGCAAUGCGUCGACAAGAUUUUCACGACGUCCGAAGGAGACCGAGUGAAGUUGCAAGUAUAUGAUACAAUGGGUUUAGAGCGACACCGCAGUCUGACGUUGUCCUACUAUAGAGAUGCCCAUGUUUGCUUUAUAUGUUACAACGUCCACAAUCCAGAAUCGUUGUCAAAUCUUCAGACAUGGCUAGCAGACGUUGACAAAUACCUGGGUAGGGACACACGUGUGGUCAAGAUAUUGGUAGGAAUAAACAGCCGGGCGCCGGCUUUGUUGGAGGACGUUCCCUUACCGGAAAUGCAAAAGGACUUCGUGGUUGUCGAACCAAUCACCAAAUGGCCUACAGAGCUCGCCCAAGCGCACGGCGCUCUCACGUACGAAGUUAAACUCUACGAUAAAGCAGACGUGGAAAAGUGUUUUCAAACGGCGGUGGAUUCGCUCGUGAAACGUGAACAGUAUAAGCAUGGAAAAAACAUCGUGCUGAAAAACGGCUCUGUACAUCUUUCUGCCGACAGCUCCCAAACAAGCUCAUGUUGUUAAUCCUGAAAUUCUAGAUGUAUUCGCUUUAAAAGAGUUUUGAAACAAUAAUGCUUUUCAUAGACCGUUCAAAUUCUGUGAGCCUUGCUUUAAGGAUUGUUCCGUGUGAUUUUGCGCUGUAUUAACACUUCUGGCAACUUCUAGCGGAACCCUGUUUAGCUACUAUUUCUAAGAAAACCGCUCUUAUUUCAACUUGGAAUCUCGCGCAUUGUUGUUUGAGAACCUUUUUAAACAUUGAAAUUUAAAGCAUUUACCGGUGCUGCACGUUCAAGUAGAAGCAUGCAAAUUGUUAAUUUUGUGUGCAUGUUAUUUUUCUUAGGACAAAUCUUUUUGGAGGACAAUUUGUUCACAUCUUAUAUGUGUUUUAAUUUUUUAUUAAAAACCUUGUAUGAGCAAUAAGAAGGAUGCAGACUUGUCAAACGUAAGAGCAGCCAUACACUUGAAAACCAGCUCGUUUUGCUCGUGCAAUACAUUUAUUACACAAGUAUAACAUCACAGAUCUUGUUUUCUACCAUUAGAAUUACCACAUCCACACAUUAUAAAACAUUUUGUUACAAGGAGUACAUGGGCUUUAAGACAAUACCUGAAACUUUGUGUAGCCCACGAUGCGUUAUGAUUAUAGUUCAGUGUAUAAACCUAUAAUGUUAAGGAAAGUGGUCACUUGCCAUAUAUAAAUUACUACCGAAUGCUUAUAAAAUAUAUAUAUUCUGAAGAUAACUCUGGAGUUAUAUGUGAUAUUUGUUAGUGCACAGUAUUCGUUAGUGAUUUAAACAACCGUAAUAUAAAUAAUUGCCUUUUUUAACGACAGAUAUGUAUGUAAGCCGAUUCAAGGCGAACUUUAUUAAUAAUGUUUUUAUAACGACAAUUGCCGUUAUGAAAAAAGUAUGAUUGUGUAAGAUUCAUUUUUUUACUGGUAUAUUGUCUGUGAAGUACUGUUAUUAUUUUAUUGGAUGUGUUAUACUGUAUUACUGUUAUUAUUUUAUUGGAUGUGUUAUACUGUAGUACUGUUAUUAUUUUAUUGGAUGUGUUAUACUGUAGUACUGUUAUUAUUUUAUUGGAUGUGUUAUACUGUAGUACUGUUAUUAUUUUAUUGGAUGUGUUAUACUGUAGUACUGUUAUUAUUUUAUUGGAUGUGUUAUACUGUAGUACUGUUAUUAUUUUAUUGGAUGUGUUAUACUGUAGUACUGUUAUUAUUUUAUUGGAUGUGUUAUACUGUAGUACUGUUAUUAUUUUAUUGGAUGUGUUAUACUGUAUGUCUUUACUUCCUUUCUGUGAUGAGUUUAUGUACUCUAUCAUGUGAUUGUAUUACAUUUUGUAUUUCUACAUAUGACCUGUUAACAAAGUGACCACCAAAUCACUGCCAGAACACAUUAUUUCUUUGUAACGUGUUGUUUUGAAUAUACAUAAUCUUGUAUGCUAUCAUAAAUUUAAGAACGCUA